CGCCCCGCCCAUAGUCGGUGGGCAACGCCCGGUCUCGUCAGAUCCCGGAAGCUAAGCCACCGACGCGGUCGCGAGUACUGGGGUCUGCGGCCCCGGGAAAGCGCCGUGGUGGGGCAU
rnacentral:rRNA from 2 species